GACGAACGCUGGCGGCGUGCUUAACACAUGCAAGUCGAACGAUGAAGAAGAGCUUGCUCUUCGGAUUAGUGGCGAACGGGUGAGUAACACGUGACUAACCUGCCCCUUUCUCUGGGAUAACGCUCCGAAAGGAGUGCUAAUACCGGAUACUCACAUCGAGGCACAUGCCUUGAUGUGGAAAGUUUUUCGGAAAGGGAUGGAGUCGCGGCCUAUCAGCUUGUUGGUGAGGUAACGGCUCACCAAGGCGACGACGGGUAGCCGGCCUGAGAGGGCGACCGGCCACACUGGGACUGGGACACGGCCCAGACUCCUACGGGAGGCAGCAGUGGGGAAGAUUGCACAAUGGGCGAAAGCCUGAUGCAGCGACGCCGCGUGAGGGAUGAAGGUCUUCGGAUUGUAAACCUCUUUCAGUAGGGACGAAGCGAAAGUGACGGUACCUAAAGAAGAAGCACCGGCUAACUACGUGCCAGCAGCAGCCGCGG
rnacentral:rRNA from 1 species